rnacentral:SRP_RNA from 1 species
CGGUAGGACGUUCACGACGGACACCGGUUAAUCCGCCAGGGCCGGAAGGCAGCAACGGUACGUCGGCUAUGGACGGGCGCUGAGCUCAUCUUGCUGUUA